rnacentral:lncRNA from 1 species
UCUCUUGUUUCAGUUGUAUGACAUUCAUCCAUAAAAUCCAGUACAAAAAUAUCCAAGUUGUCACUAAGCUAUUCCACUGAGAAAAAAGAGACAGGGAAGUGGCAUGGCAUACAAAAUCAAACAAAACAGAGAAGAAAACAGCAAAAAGAAAAGAAAAGCAAGAACAGUGAGUGGCUCCCAGUGAGUCGAUCCGAUUGAGCUACUGAUCUCAUG